rnacentral:rRNA from 1 species
AGGACGAACGCUGGCGGCGUGCUUAACACAUGCAAGUCGAGCGAGGCCCUUCCUUCGGGAAGGUGCCCUAGCGGCGAACGGGUGAGUAACACGUGGGCAACCUGCCCCUAGCACUGGGAUAACUCCGGGAAACCGGGGCUAAUACCGGAUAUGACCAUCGAGGGCAUCCUCGUUGGUGUAAAGGAUUCUGGCUAGGGAUGGGCCCGCGGCCUAUCAGCUUGUUGGUGGGUAACGGCCUACCAAGGCGACGACGGGUA